rnacentral:rRNA from 1 species
GACGAACGCUGGCGGCAUGCCUUACACAUGCAAGUCGAACGGCAGCACGGGAGCAAUCCUGGUGGCGAGUGGCGAACGGGUGAGUAAUAUAUCGGAACGUGCCCAGUCGUGGGGGAUAACGCAGCGAAAGCUGUGCUAAUACCGCAUACGAUCUCUGGAUGAAAGCGGGGGACCGUAAGGCCUCGCGCGAUUGGAGCGGCCGAUAUCAGAUUAGCUAGUUGGUGGGGUAAAGGCCCACCAAGGCGACGAUCUGUAGCUGGUCUGAGAGGACGACCAGCCACACUGGAACUGAGACACGGUCCAGACUCCUACGGGAGGCAGCAGUGGGGAAUUUUGGACAAUGGGCGCAAGCCUGAUCCAGCAAUGCCGCGUGCAGGAUGAAGGCCUUCGGGUUGUAAACUGCUUUUGUACGGAACGAAACGGCGAGCUCUAAUAAAGUUUGCUAAUGACGGUACCGUAAGAAUAAGCACCGGCUAACUACGUGCCAGCCGCCGCAGUAAAAC